UACGGGGGGGGCAAGCGUUGUUCGGAAUUACUGGGCGUAAAGGGCUCGUAGGUGGCCAACUAAGUCAUACGUGAAAUCCCUCGGCUUAACCGGGGAACUGCGUCUGAUACUGGAUGGCUUGAGUUUGGGAGAGGGACGCGGAAUUCCAGGUGUAGCGGUGAAAUGCGUAGAUAUCAGGAGGAACACCAAUUGCGAAGGCAGCUCGCUGGGACGUUACUGACGCUGAGACGCGAAAGCGUGGGGAGCAAACAGG
rnacentral:rRNA from 1 species